GAAUGUUUCCCAAUUUCACCUCUGGGGUUCCAUGAGGCUCAGUCGGUAAAAGGCUGCGGCUCUGAAUGCCGCUUGUUCGACCCCAAGGUGGGCACAACUAUUUUCACAAAAAAAACUUAAGAUUUUGACACUUUAGUCUGUUUUUGUCUAUACUCAAUAUUGUCAAGUUCAAGAAAAAUCUGUUUUUGUUUAUCACCGA
ensembl:snoRNA W06D12.9 ncRNA